GAAGGAAGUAGGCUCCCUGCAGAGCAGAAAGCCCGAUGUGGGGCUCGAUCCCAGGACCCUGGCAUCAUGACCCGAGCCAAAGGCAGAGGCUUUAACCCACUGAGCCACCCAGGUGCCCCGGCACGCCGCUUUUAAACGACACGUUCUCAUUUUAUUCAGAAAGGAGACCUAUCCGAUAAGGUUAUCUCCAUCUUAACGAUGGUACUGAAGGCCUGCAGUUCUCUCCCCUCGCUCUGCAGACGCCCCCCCAAAGGACAAGCACCGAUGUCCCCGAGCCCUCUGGGAAGUGGAGUCCUUCCGCCGGGACCCCCGACCUGGCGCGGUCGCCUCCAAGUGCGCAGAUGCGACUCCAGACGGAGCCUCGGGCUCGAGCCUUUUGUUUCCCCGCAGCUCCACGAGUCCAGAAAGCGACUCCGUCCGCCCCUCCUGUCUUUUCCAGAGCGCAGCCCGGCGAGGACCCGCCCUGUGGCCGGAGCCGAGUCCGCAGCGCGUCCAGGGAGUUUCAGAGUAGAGUUGAAUGAUUUGCACAAAGAAGCAGAUUAUGUAUUGCUGAAAAGUCCAUAUUUAUCUCAUCUGAAACUGAAUAAGAAGGAAGUCAUAGCAAUAACGGGACAAGAAAAGCGAAGCUGAUCAUGGAUUAUCUGACCAUUGAAGCUGAGGAAGAAGUCCUUCCAGCCAUUAUCGCUGAGGAUGCCUCUCUGCCCCAAAAACAGAACACAGAAGAAAUGGAACCUACUGUUGAGCUACUUCCUGUUGAGUUCCAGGCAAGUUUGAGUUUAACUUCCCCCCUCUGAAAUCUUAGCUUGAUGUUUGUG
rnacentral:lncRNA from 1 species